rnacentral:rRNA from 1 species
UACGUAGGGUGCAAGCGUUGUCCGGAAUUAUUGGGCGUAAAGAGCUCGUAGGCGGUUUGUCGCGUCUGCCGUGAAAGUCCGGGGCUCAACUCCGGAUCUGCGGUGGGUACGGGCAGACUAGAGUGAUGUAGGGGAGACUGGAAUUCCUGGUGUAGCGGUGAAAUGCGCAGAUAUCAGGAGGAACACCGAUGGCGAAGGCGGGUCUCUGGGCCGUAACUGACGCUGAGGAGCGAAAGCGUGGGGAGCGAACAGG